UGCAGUCGACGAGAGAGAGGGAGCUUGCUUCCUCGAUCGAGUGGCGAACGGGUGAGUAACGCGUGAGGAACCUGCCUCAAAGAGGGGGACAACAGUUGGAAACGACUGCUAAUACCGCAUAAGCCCACGGCUCGGCAUCGAGCAGAGGGAAAAGGAGCAAUCCGCUUUGAGAUGGCCUCGCGUCCGAUUAGCUAGUUGGUGAGGUAACGGCCCACCAAGGCGACGAUCGGUAGCCGGACUGAGAGGUUGAACGGCCACAUUGGGACUGAGACACGGCCCAGACUCCUACGGGAGGCAGCAGUGGGGAAUAUUGCACAAUGGGGGAAACCCUGAUGCAGCGACGCCGCGUGGAGGAAGAAGGUCUUCGGAUUGUAAACUCCUGUUGUUGAGGAAGAUAAUGACGGUACUCAACAAGGAAGUGACGGCUAACUACGUGCCAGCAGCCGCGGUAAAACGUAGGUCACAAGCGUUGUCCGGAAUUACUGGGUGUAAAGGGAGCGCAGGCGGGCGAUCAAGUUGGAAGUGAAAUCCAUGGGCUCAACCCAUGAACUGCUUUCAAAACUGAUUGUCUUGAGUAGUGCAGAGGUAGGCGGAAUUCCCGGUGUAGCGGUGGAAUGCGUAGAUAUCGGGAGGAACACCAGUGGCGAAGGCGGCCUACUGGGCACCAACUGACGCUGAGGCUCGAAAGU
rnacentral:rRNA from 1 species